AGGAUGAACGCUAGCGACAGGCCGUAACACAUGCAAGUCGAGGGGCGAGCACAAGGAGCAAUCUGAGGUGGCGACCGGCGCACGGGUGAGUAACACGUAUGCAACCUGCCUGUAAGCGGGGAAUAACCCGUUGAAAGACGGACUAAUACCGCAUAAUACUAAAUUACUGCAUGGUAAUUUAUUUAAACAUUUAGUGGCUUACAGAUGGGCAUGCGCAUGAUUAGCUAGUUGGAGAGGUAACGGCUCCCCAAGGCAACGAUCAUUAGGGGUUCUGAGAGGAAGGUCCCCCCACACUGGUACUGAGACACGGACCAGACUCCUACGGGAGGCAGCAGUGAGGAAUAUUGGUCAAUGGACGAGAGUCUGAACCAGCCAAGUCGCGUGCAGGAAGAAUUGUCCUAUGGAUUGUAAACUGCUUUUGCAGGGGAAUAAAGUGCAUCACGUGUGAUGUUUUGUAUGUACUCUGCGAAUAAGGAUCGGCUAACUCCGUGCCAGCCGCGGC
rnacentral:rRNA from 1 species